UGCAAUCAUAUUCAAAAUAAAUUAAACACAUUUCAUAAGUUCCUCCUAUCUGUCGAGCAACGACUCGGAUUUGUCUCUUCAAAGAUAUAAAUAUUUUAAAAUUUAAGGUAGGCUUGCAUAGCUAUCAUCUGACCCUUCAAAUUCCAACUGCAAGGUCUGUAUUUGUUUCAUCUUGUGUUUGGGCAUAGAGUUGCCUGUCUUUCCGAACUGUGAAAACCCCCGGGGUAUUGUUAUGAUUUUGUUUUAAACAGAUUUUAAAUAUCAUAUUAAAAACAUUCUUUAUUAUUUUUUGCUUAAUGUUUUCAUAUUGGAUAUAUGUAAUAAAGAGAACAACCAUUGUAUAAUAUGCAGUAAAUACAUAGUUUACAGCGUUUCAAAUAUAUAUGAGUUAUGUAGCUUUGCUCGACGAAUAUCUAUGUACUAAUAAGGAUGAAAUAAUGCUAGACACACAAGUUUUAAAUUUUUGUCGACCCUUAACGCCUCGACAUAUCUUUACAAAUUUUAUAAGACAGCUCGUAGAUAAUUUUAAGACUGAAAAUUUAUUUUAGCGAUUUAAUUAUUUCUAUAAAUAGAUAACGGGAUAUUAUUGACUACGGGAC
rnacentral:lncRNA from 1 species